ensembl:snoRNA SNORA70 Small nucleolar RNA SNORA70
UUGCAGCCAAUUAAGCCAACCAUGCUCUCUUCCCCUUGGGGGCCCAGGGUGCAAUAGCUAUAAACAGCAGCCUCCUAGGUAGUGUAUGCAACUGUUGCCUGUACAGUUUGCCCUACAGUAUCUUAAAGACAACU